GAUGAAGAACGUAGCGAAAUGCGAUAAGUAAUGUGAAUUGCAGAAUUCAGUGAAUCAUCGAAUCUUUGAACGCACAUUGCGCCCGCCAGUAUUCUGGCGGGCAUGCAUGUUCGAGCGUCAUUUCAACCAUCAAGCCCCCGGCUUGUGUUGGGGACCUGCGGCUGCCGCAGGCCCUGAAAACCAGUGGCGGGCUCGCUAGUCACUCCGAGCGUAGUAAUACAUCUCGCUCAGGGCGUGCUGCGGGUUCCGGCCGUUAAAAAGCCUUAUUUACCCAAGGUUGACCUCGGAUCAGGUAGGAAGACCCGCUGAACUUAAGCAUAUCAAUAAGCGGAGGA
rnacentral:misc_RNA from 1 species